rnacentral:tRNA from 1 species
UCCCUGGUGGCUCAGAUGGUAAAGAAUCUGCCUGCAAUGUAGGAGACCUGGGUUCAAUCCCUGGCUUGGGAA